rnacentral:lncRNA from 1 species
UUUUAAUGUGUCUUUAUCUUUUUCUCUAACCAAUUCAGGAGAUGUAUUCAAAAGGAAUAAUUCCCCUUUCUGCUGUAUCUACAGUACGAGUUCAAGGAGACAACAAAUUUGAAGUUGUUACAACACAAAGAACUUUUGUGUUUAGAGUAGAAAAAGAAGAGGAGAGGAAUGACUGGAUCAGUAUACUGUUAAAUGCACUGAAGUCACAGUCCCUUACUCCUCAGUCUCAAGUAGCUGUUGCACCUGAGAAAUGUGGAUAUCUUGAACUGAGAGGGUACAAAGCCAAAAUUUUUACUGUAUUAAAGGGAAGCAGUCUGUGGCUUUGUAAAAAUGAACAGGUGAGUUUUAUUACAUUAAUUGGAAAUUGCUGUUUUUGAUUAUAGUAGUAACUGUGUUGAGUUUUUGGAGUUUUUAUUUAUAGAGCCUUGU